UUUUUGAUUAUAAUAUAAAGUCUAACCUGCCCACUGAUAAAUUAUUAAAGGGCCGCGGUAUAUUGACUGUGCAAAGGUAGCAUAAUCAUUUGUCUUUUAAUUGAAGGCUGGAAUGAAUGGUUGAAUGAAAUAUUAACUGUCUCAUUUUUAUAAAUAUAAAAAUUUAGCUUUUAAGUCAAAAGGCUUAAAUAAAUUUAGAGGACGAGAAGACCCUAUAGAUCUUUAUAUUAAUUAAUAUAUUAUAAUUUAGAAAAUUAUUUAAUAAUAAAUUAUUUAAUAUUUUAUUGGGGUGAUAGGAAAAUUAAAUAAACUUUUCAUAAUUUUUACCAUUGAUUUAUGCAUAAUUGAUCCAAUAUUAUUGAUUAAAAGAUUAAGUUACCUUAGGGAUAACAGCGUAAUUUUUUUAAAGAGUUCAUAUCGAUAAAAAAGAUUGCGACCUCGAUGUUGAAUUAAAAGUUAUUUCUAGAUGCAGAAGUUUAGAGUUUAGGUCUGUUCGACCUUUGAAUUUUU
rnacentral:rRNA from 1 species